rnacentral:rRNA from 1 species
UACGUAGGGUCCAAGCGUUAUCCGGAAUCACUGGGCGUAAAGCGUGCGUAGGUGGGUGUUUAAGUGCAAUGCGAAAUCCUGUGGCUCAACCAUAUGGACUGUAUUGCAUACUGGAUACCUAGAGGAUAUGAGAGGCAAGUGGAAUUACCGGUGUAGCAGUGAAAUGCGUAGAUAUCGGUAGGAACACCAAUGGGCGAAGGCAGCUUGCUGGCAUAUUUCUGACACUAAGGCACGAAAGCGUGGGGAGCGAACAGG